AACGGCCAUACCAUGCUGAAUAUACCGGUUCUCGUUAGAUCACCGAAGUCAAGCAUCAUUGGGCGUGGUCAGUACUUGGGUGGGUGACCACCUGGGAACACCGCUUGCCGU